CCUACGGGAGGCAGCAGUGGGGAAUAUUGCACAAUGGGGGAAACCCUGAUGCAGCGACGCCGCGUGAGUGAAGAAGUAAUUCGUUAUGUAAAGCUCUAUCAGCAGGGAAGAAAAUGACGGUACCUGAGUAAGAAGCCCCGGCUAACUACGUGCCAGCAGCCGCGGUAAUACGUAGGGGGCAAGCGUUAUCCGGAUUUACUGGGUGGAAAGGGAGCGGAGACGGCAGUGCAAGUCUGGAGUGAAAGGCGGGGGCUCAACCCCCGGACUGCUCUGGAAACUGUACGGCUGGAGUGCAGGAGAGGUAAGUGGAAUUCCUAGUGUAGCGGUGAAAUGCGUAGAUAUUAGGAGGAACACCAGUGGCGAAGGCGGCUUACUGGACUGUAACUGACGUUGAGGCUCGAAAGCGUGGGGAGCAAACAGGAUUAGAUACCCUAGUAGUC
rnacentral:rRNA from 1 species